rnacentral:rRNA from 1 species
GACGAACGCUGGCGGCGUGCUUAACACAUGCAAGUCGAACGGAAAGGCCCCCUUGUGGGGUACUCGAGUGGCGAACGGGUGAGUAACACGUGAGUAACCUACCCUUGACUUUGGGAUAACUUCAGGAAACUGGGGCUAAUACCGGAUAGGAGCUCCUGCUGCAUGGUGGGGGUUGGAAAGUUUCGACGGUUGGGGAUGGACUCGCGGCUUAUCAGCUUGUUGGUGGGGUAGUGGCUCACCAAGGCUUUGACGGGUAGCCGGCCUGAGAGGGUGACCGGCCACAUUGGGACUGAGAUACGGCCCAGACUCCUACGGGAGGCAGCAGUGGGGAAUAUUGCACAAUGGGCGGAAGCCUGAUGCAGCAACGCCGCGUGCGGGAUGACGGCCUUCGGGUUGUAAACCGCUUUCGCCUGUGACGAAGCGUGAGUGACGGUAAUGGGUAAAGAAGCACCGGCUAACUACGUG